AUCUACUGCCAUGCCACCCUGAAUGCGCCCAAUCUCUUCUGAUCUUGGAAGCUAAGCAUGGUCAGACCUGGUUAGUGCCUGGUUGGGAGAUC
ensembl:rRNA 5S_rRNA 5S ribosomal RNA